rnacentral:lncRNA from 1 species
GGGCAAUACACCAGACCAUGGAACAUGACACCUGGUGAGGGGUAGACCCUUAACAGGUCUAUUAAAAAGCUAUUUCCCCAAAGUGUGUCUCCUUUCAAGGAAGAAUCUCUUGGAGAAAGGGAAAAUCCACCUGAGUACGGGUCUUGGGAUGGUCCUGCAGCGUCAGGGCGAAAGAUUUCCUCAAAAGCUUAAUGAAAGCCGAAUCACAGGACGGCUGUGUUUUAUCGAUACGCCACUGUUCUGGAAGCGCGGGCUGCUGGGGUAAGAGAGCAGCUUCAGGGAGCCUCCGAGGGCUGUGGGCAUGACGUCAAGGGUUAGACAGGCCGAGGGCAAUUGGAGGAGGGAUGCUGCUAUA